rnacentral:rRNA from 1 species
GAUGAACGCUGGCGGCGUGCCUAAUACAUGCAAGUCGAGCGACCAGACGAGGAUCUUGCUCCUCUGACGUUAGCAGCGGACGGGUGAGUAACCCGUGGAUAACCUACCUAUAAGACUGGGAUAACUUCGGGAAACCGGAGCUAAUACCGGAUAAUAUAUUGAACCGCAUGGUUCAAUAGUGAAAGACGGUUUUGCUGUCACUUAUAGAUGGAUCCUCGCCGCAUUAGCUAGUUGGUAAGGUAACGGCUUACCAAGGCAACGAUGCGUAGCCGACCUGAGAGGGUGAUCGGCCACACUGGAACUGAGACACGGUCCAGACUCCUACGGGAGGCAGCAGUAGGGAAUCUUCCGCAAUGGGCGAAAGCCUGACGGAGCAACGCCGCGUGAGUGAUGAAGGUCUUCGGAUCGUAAAACUCUGUUAUUAGGGAAGAACAAAUGUGUAAGUAACUAUGCACGUCUUGACGGUACCUAAUCAGAAAGCCACGGCUAACUACGUG